rnacentral:lncRNA from 1 species
GGAGGUGGCUAGGGGCUCCUAUUGGUACACAGUGAGUAUGUGGUGGUGAUGGCUUAUGCCAAAUUAUCUGUUGCAUGUUUGAAAGUUAAUGUUGGGCCAGGCAUUUGGAGAGGUUCAAGGGAAGAUAUAUCAAUUUUGACAACUGAAGACAACAUUGUUUCUUAGCUGGUAAAAAUAUUAAACUUUUAAGGAAAACAGAAAUAUAAUGUUUAUUAUGAAUUUCCAGCCAAAGGGCAGACACACUGGCUUUCAAUGCUCUCCUUGAAUAGAAGCUGCCUCCUCUAGCGCUUCACACGUUCUGGGUUGAAAGCCACAAUUACUCUACUGUAACAAAGCCUUGGUGUUGGUUUGCUUCAUAGAUUCCUUUUCCCUUGGGUUUGAUCCUGCCUGGAAAAAUGUCUGCAACAGCACUGAUCGGAUUAUCCUGACCAGAGGAGAGCCUCUCCUUUACCGCCUGUGAGAAGUGGAAUCAUGGAUAUAGAGAUGCUAAGAAGUGCCUAAAUCUUCUGGCAGAUAGAUUGUGAACAUCUCAGCUUUUCCUUGGAGAUACGCGUUCUACUUUGGUUACCUAUGUGUUUGGUUUCCUUGCACCUCUGCGUGAAGUGCACUUUCCUAAAGUUCAGUUACAAGAACAUUUGGAACAUCUCUCCAACCUGCGUUCCUUUUGUGAUGCUCUCCUAAAUAGUUAUUUUAGGCUUAGCGUUGGAGAUGGAUGACAAUCUUCACCAAAACCCUCAACUUCCUCCUUGGAAACUGCCAACAUUCAAAUUGACAUCAGUGGAGCAAGAAAGUAAUU